AACGCGAAGAACCUUACCCGGGCUUGAACUCGGCAGGAAGUGGCUAGAGAUAGUCAUGUUCUUCGGACCUGCCGGGAGGUGCUGCAUGGUUGUCGUCAGCUCGUGCCGUGAGGUGUCGGCUUAAGUGCCAUAACGAGCGCAACCCCUUUCCCUGUUUGCCAUCGGGUCGAGCCGGGCACUCCAGGGACACUGCCACCGCAAGGUGUGAGGAAGGCGGGGAUGACGUCAAAUCAGCACGGCCCUUACGUCCGGGGCUACACACGUGUUACAAUGGGCGCUACAGAGGGAAGCCACCACGCGAGUGGGCGCAGAUCCCGAAAGGCGUCCCCAGUUCGGACUGGAGUCUGCAACCCGACUCCACGAAGCCGGAUUCGCUAGUAAUCGCGCAUCAGCCAUGGCGCGGUGAAUACGUUCCCGGGUCUUGUACACACGC
rnacentral:rRNA from 1 species